rnacentral:rRNA from 1 species
GAUGAACGCUGGCGGCGUGCCUAAUACAUGCAAGUCGAGCGAACAGAUAAGGAGCUUGCUCCUUUGACGUUAGCGGCGGACGGGUGAGUAACACGUGGGUAACCUACCUAUAAGACUGGAAUAACUCCGGGAAACCGGGGCUAAUGCCGGAUAACAUUUAGAACCGCAUGGUUCUAAAGUGAAAGAUGGUUUUGCUAUCACUUAUAGAUGGACCCGCGCCGUAUUAGCUAGUUGGUAAGGUAACGGCUUACCAAGGCAACGAUACGUAGCCGACCUGAGAGGGUGAUCGGCCACACUGGAACUGAGACACGGUCCAGACUCCUACGGGAGGCAGCAGUAGGGAAUCAUCCGCAAUGGGCGAAAGCCUGACGGAGCAACGCCGCGUGAGUGAUGAAGGUCUUCGGAUCGUAAAACUCUGUUAUUAGGGAAGAACAAAUGUGUAAGUAACUGUGCACGUCUUGACGGUACCUAAUCAGAAAGCCACGGCUAACUACGUG